UCCCAUGAGAUCAGGAAUAAGCAACCAGA
rnacentral:piRNA from 1 species